rnacentral:rRNA from 1 species
AAUGAACGCUGGCGGCAGGCCUAACACAUGCAAGUCGAGCGGAUGAAUGGAGCUUGCUCGUGGAUGCGGCGGCGGACGGGUGGGUAAUGCCUAUGAAUAUGCCAUGUCGUGGGGGAUAACGUCCGGAAACGGGCGCUGAUACCGCAUACGUCGUGAGGGCGAAAAAGGGGGAGCUUCGGACCUCACGCUAUCUGAUGAGCCUAGGUUGGAUUCGCGAGUUGGUGGGGUAACGGCCUACCGAGGCUACGAUGCGUAACUGGUCUGAGAGGAUGAUCCGUCACAUGGGAAGAGAGAAACGGCACCGACUCCGACGGGAGGCAGCAGUGGGGAAUAUUGGAGGAUGGGGGAAAGCCUGAUAUAGCCAUACCGCGGGUGUGAAGAAGGUCUUCGGAUUGUAAAGUACUGUAAGUCGGGAGGAAGGGAAGUAAGUUAAUCGGUGGAUGUUUUGACGGUAGCCACAGAAUAAGCCCCGGCUAGCUUCGUG